GCCGCAGUAGCUCAGUUGGUAAGAGUAUCGCACGUGUAAUGCGAAAACGUGGGCUCGUAUCCCACCUGCGGCC